AAAUGGCGAACGGUUCCAGGCGGAAGUGACAUAUUGUGUGAAGUUAUAAAGGGACCAUUCUUAUGUCUGAGGGGCUACAGGAUUUUCUUCAAAGAAAAGACCGUGCAAUUCGGAGAGACGGCGUCGCCGGCGAAAAUUAAUGCAGAAUUGAUAGAGCAGACCACUGUCAAAGAAGUGAUGCUUCUGGGAGACUGUGUGGAGUGAAAUGGAGUAAGGAAAGCAUAGAGAGACAACUGCACAGAUAAAGGCUGUUGUUCAAUAUGUAUGCAGGCCAAACACCCUCCUCCAGAUGGUGACUAUUCCAGCCUCCCCUUGAUGGGAAGUCAGAUGUUUGCAGAGCCCGGCGAGAGGGCAUAAGAGCUGACAAUGCCAGUCACAG